rnacentral:rRNA from 1 species
UACGAAGGGGGCGAGCGUUGUUCGGAUUUACUGGGCGUAAAGGGCGCGCAGGCGGCUUAUUUUGUCAGGCGUGAAAGCCCCGGGCUUAACCUGGGAGGUGCGUUUGAUACGGAUGGGCUAGAGUUCGGGAGAGGAGCGUGGAAUUCCCAGUGUAGAGGUGAAAUUCGUAGAUAUUGGGAAGAACACCGGUGGCGAAGGCGGCGCUCUGGACCGAGACUGACGCUGAGGCACGAAGGUCAGGGGAGCAAACGGG